UUUUUGAUUCAGCCAGGAUUAAGAGUACGUUGACCAAUGAGACUGACGAAUUUGACAACAAAGCUACAAAACAACUUUCUCCGCUGAGCAUAGCAAAGUGGUAAUUGCGAAUUAUAUCGCGGAUCGCGUCAAGUACGAGGGCAGUCGAUUAGAUUCCUCGAUUAGAGCGCAAGAGACUCCUCUUUUCAAGGCCAAGGACGCUACUUGGAGCUCGCUGCAGCCCUGGUCCUCUAACUCCGACUUCCUCAAGGAACUCCAACUCUUCCUUGCCGCGUGUUGAUUCAGGAUGUCGUGCGAACGGUUGGGACUCUCUUUCGGAUACGGUGGAAAAUUGAGGUUGAUGACAAGAGCUUGGGGAUUAUCUCACAAAUAUUUGGGAGCAAUUAGAUGUUUGCGCGUCUGUUACCAUGUUUACAUGGUUUGCCGUAUCUAGACCGGCGAGACGUGUUUAUAACUGCGCGCGAUACGAACGAGCAAGUUCUCUUCGUUCUCGUUAGACUCGUACUCCAUUGCGCCAUGACUUUCGAAUAACACGAUUUCCUCCUAGCCGAUCUCUUGAAACCGAGGAUUACCAUCACGUCGGACGAUGCGAAGAUAGUUUAAACAAACUUGCUUACAGAAGUUAUAAGCAAAGGAUAAUGCGAAAACUUCCAGGAGAGACUGUAAAAUGUGAGAGAAGAAAGUGUCAACGACAAUGAGAGGAUUGAAGCGAGAAUUACGGGCAAAAUUUAACGAUUCGAGCUCGGGCAUGAAGUAAUUAGAGGACAUCACUCACCCGGUUUCGGCUGAUUCUGAUACGACGGUCUCCUCAUCCAUCCGAACGGGCUCCUGCUCGGGCCUCGCGCGUUCACCGAAUAUAUAUCGCGGGACACGGGCUGCUGGUUCAUAUUGUUAGACACGUAC